rfam:Eurypyga helias contig83499, whole genome shotgun sequence.
GCACCGCUGGUGUAGUGGUAUCAUGCAAGAUUCCCGUUCUUGUGACUUGGGUUCGAUUACCGGUCGGUGCA